rnacentral:rRNA from 1 species
UCUAGUGGCGGACGGGUGAGUAACGCGUGAGAAUCUGGCUCCAGGUCGGGGAUAACAGUUGGAAACGACUGCUAAUACCGGAUGUGCCGAGAGGUGAAAGAUUUAUUGCCUGGAGAUGAGCUCGCGUCUGAUUAGCUAGUUGGUGGUGUAAGGGACCACCAAGGCGUCGAUCAGUAGCUGGUCUGAGAGGAUGAUCAGCCACACUGGGACUGAGACACGGCCCAGACUCCUACGGGAGGCAGCAGUGGGGAAUUUUCCGCAAUGGGCGAAAGCCUGACGGAGCAAUACCGCGUGAGGGAGGAAGGCUCUUGGGUCGUAAACCUCUUUUCUCAAGGAAGAAGAAAGUGACGGUACUUGAGGAAUAAGCAUCGGCUAACUCCGUGCCAGCAGCCGCGGUAAUACGGAGGAUGCAAGCGUUAUCCGGAAUGAUUGGGCGUAAAGGGUCUGCAGGUGGAACUGAAAGUCUGCUGUUAAAGAGUUUGGCUUAACCAAAUAAAAGCGGUGGAAACUACAGAACUAGAGUGCGGUAGGGGCAAAAGGAAUUCCUGGUGUAGCGGUGAAAUGCGUAGAUAUCAGGAAGAACACCGGUGGCGAAAGCGUUUUGCUAGACCGUAACUGACACUGAGGGACGAAAGCUAGGGGAGCGAAUGGGAUUAGAUACCCCAGUAGUCCUAGCCGUAAACGAUGGAUACUAGGCGUGGCUUGUAUCGACCCGAGCCGUGCCGGAGCUAACGCGUUAAGUAUCCCGCCUGGGGAGUACGCACGCAAGUGUGAAACUCAAAGGAAUUGACGGGGGCCCGCACAAGCGGUGGAGUAUGUGGUUUAAUUCGAUGCAACGCGAAGAACCUUACCAAGACUUGACAUCCUGCGAAUCCUGGUGAAAGCUGGGAGUGCCUUAGGGAGCGCAGAGACAGGUGGUGCAUGGCUGUCGUCAGCUCGUGUCGUGAGAUGUUGGGUUAAGUCCCGCAACGAGCGCAACCCUCGUUUUUAGUUGCCAGCAUUAAGUUGGGCACUCUAGAGAGACUGCCGGUGACAAACCGGAGGAAGGUGAGGAUGACGUCAAGUCAGCAUGCCCCUUACGUCUUGGGCUACACACGUACUACAAUGCUACGGACAGAGGGCAGCGAGCCAGGGAUGGCAAGCGAAUCCAGAAACCGUAGCUCAGUUCAGAUCGAAGGCUGCAACUCGCCUUCGUGAAGGAGGAAUCGCUAGUAAUUGCAGGUCAGCAUACUGCAGUGAAUUCGUUCCCGGGCCUUGUACACACCGCCCGUCACACCAUGGAAGUUGGUCACGCCCGAAGUCAUUACCCCAACCGAAAGGAGGGGG